UACGUAGGGGCCUAGCGUUGUCCGGAAUUAUUGGGCGUAAAGAGCUCGUAGGCGGUUCGGCAAGUCGGAUGUGAAAUCUCCACGCUUAACGUGGAGGGGCCAUUCGAAACUGCUGUGACUCGAGUCCGGUAGGGGACCACGGAAUUCCUGGUGUAGCGGUGAAAUGCGCAGAUAUCAGGAGGAACACCGGUGGCGAAGGCGGUGGUCUGGGCCGCAACUGACGCUGAGACGCGAAAGCGUGGGGAGCAAACAGG
rnacentral:rRNA from 1 species